AAUAGAGAUAAAACAUAAUUCACGUUAAAAAAAGUGGCGCGGGUUAUCUGAAAAAUUUAAAAAGAUAAAUUGGAGUUACAUUUUCACCCUAGUGUCGUCGUUAUUGUUCAUCUUAAAAUAAAUUUAUGAGUUUCCAGACUUUCCACCAAACUCACUGCACACCAAAACCUAAGUUUAUUCUUCUGUGAUUCAAGUUGUGGCGGCGAGGUGGGAAUCCGGAUACCCAAAGCCCAAAUUCUUGCCCACCUUUCUUCGACUAAACCGCCUUUCUUUAAUAUCUCCAACCACUAACAACUUCAACCCUUGGGGGUAGACGAUAUUGGUGGUAGAAUCGAAAUACGUAAAGGCUUAAUUGGUGGUGGAUCUUGUAAUGGAUGGCGGUUUCGGUGGUGGAAUUGGAUUGUGUAAAACCACUUCCUCCGACAGUCCCGACCCCUCUCUCUCGGUCUCUCCUCCUAUGGUUCUACCCUCCCUCUUUUCCUUGGCCUCCACCUCCGGCGACCUAAGUUGGCAAAGUAAAUGAUUAGGUUUUAGCAGGAAGAAAACUAAACCAACUGUAUGGGAAAGUAAUCUCUAACUAAAACAAUACUAAUUGAAAUCAACACAAAUAAAUGAAACUGCAAAGUAAAACUAAUUGAUACCACAGUUGUUAUGACGUUGAAGAUGAAUAUGAUGAGAAUGAGGAUGAGGUUGAGGAUGAAUGUCAGAUUACUGAAGAUGAAGAUGAAGAUGAAAAUGAUGAUUAUGAAGAUGAUGAAGUGGCUAUAUAACUGAUAAGAGGCCUGGCUAUACAGUUAGACUUGAGAACAAGAGGUUAACUUCUAGGUCCUGGUGGAGUUACCAUGAAUUUAUUUUCCAACAUUGAUGUCUAUUCAAAGGGAGCCACAUAGGUAGCAACUAGAGAGUAUUGAUGAGCUUACAUGUGAAUACUCAUCACUAAUCAGUUAAAGGAGGAAAUUCAUAACACAAUGGAAGAAGAACUAACACUCUCCCAUGUACAGGUAGCACAAAAGCGGUUUAAGUCGAAGUCUCGCGACCGGGUUUUGUUUGUUGGAGGAGGAAUAACACUUAAAAAAAUAUCAGGAUCACAACCAAGUAGGUUGGAACUUCAAUCUUAGUUGAAUGACGCAAACAAACAAAACAAUGUUCUUACCAAUAUGUGGAUACGGUACAAGAAGAAAAUAAUGCACUUAAGAGUCGCAUGAGUUCAGUUGAAGAUGAGCUUAAUGAGCUUAAAGCAUUAAAGAAGUGUUCUUACAACGCUUUUCAAGAGAUGGCACUCCAAGAAAGAACACUUUAAAUAGUUAGAUUUUAUUUUGUUCUUUUAGAUUCAACAAGAAUUACUUAUCUUCUAGCUUUUUUAGAAUUUAAAGACUACGGGAUGUGAUUUUUAUUUCACAUAACUUGAAAUUCUAUUGUAAAAAUCUUUUGAUUAAUGAAAUUUUCAUUUGUUUUAAUUGA